rnacentral:misc_RNA from 1 species
GAUGAAGAACGUAGCGAAAUGCGAUACUUGGUGUGAAUUGCAGAAUCCCGUGAACCAUCGAGUCUUUGAACGCAAGUUGCGCCCGAAGCCGUCAGGCCGAGGGCACGCCUGCCUGGGCGUCACACGCCGUUGUCCCCCCGCGCCCCGCUCCCUCUUUUUGGGAGCGAACUCGGGGCGGGCUGAUGGUGGCCUCCCGUGCGCUCCGCCGCGCGGUUGGCCCAAAUACCGAGUCCCCGGCGAUGUGCGCCACGACGAUCGGUGGUUGAGAGACCCCUGUCGCUAGUCGUGCGCGCCCGUCGCGUCACGCGGGCUCGCAUAGCGCCUCGCGCCGCACACAGUGCGGAGCCUUCAACGCGACCCCAGGUCAGGCGGGGUUACCCGCUGAAUUUAAGCAUAUCAAUAAGCGGAGGA